rnacentral:lncRNA from 1 species
UGUGUUGCUGAGAACCCACAGCUUCUCUGGGCUCUGGGUGUCUUGUAUUUGAGAAGCAGCAGAUAUUAAAUGCAGGGAAGAAGUUGCUUGCCAAGCUGGCAAGGCAGGAGAAAAGUGAAGCUUUGGAUGCUGCAGAUGCGCCGGCACCAGAGCCAUUUGUCUCGGAGACUGACCAAUGGGGGUUUAAAUCUGCCACCGAUGCUGCUGGUCCCCACCCCACCUCGUCAGCCGUCCCCGCGUGGAUGCAGCAGGAGGAGUCCAAAGAAAGCGAGGCAGCAGUCACCAGCUCAGAAGAACAUGAAGAUGCCUCAGUGGAGAAAGAGACAUUGCUGCUUUCUUCUUCCCUUCUUCCAGCAGAAGCAGCACAGGAAGGGAACACUCAAGGUUUGAUACCUGUGGCUGCGUGGAUCGUGGUAUUUGCCAUCUCUGUGUUUGUCAUCUUCGUGCCUGUAGUUAAUGGAUGGUAAUCCAACCAGUCUGCUCAUAAACCUCAUCCUGGGAAGAAAAUAAAAACAGUGUCCUCAUGAUAUAAGCCGUGUUG